CACUACACUGGCGCUCUUUAGAGUACCCAGCUACCAACAACCCACUGUCAUUUCCAUCAUGCUCCAGCUCUCUCAGUAGCUCUCUGGAAUCAAUGUUGUCUUCUAUUACUCAAUGAGAAUCUUCAAGGAUGCAGGUGUUGAGAAGCCAAUCUAUAGAUUAGUGCAGGAGUGGUUAAUAUUAUCUUCUUGACUGUAGUCUCUCUGUUUGUGGUUGAAAGGGCAGGAAGGACUUUACAUAUGAUAGGUCUUGAGGCAUGGCGUUUUGUUCUGUCCUCAUGAUUGUUUCUUUGUUAUUAAAGGAUGAGUAUGGUGGGAUGAGCUUUGUCUGUAGUGGGGCUAUCUUGGUCUUUGUGGCCUUCUCUGAAGUUGGACCAGACUCCGUUCCCUGGAAUACUGUGGCCACACUCUUCAGUUUGCAAUAGCAGUGGCUGGUUGCUCCAACUGGACCUCCAACUUUCUAGUUGGAUUGCUCUUCCUGAACAAUUAUUAUCUAGUUUAAGUGUGUUGUUGCUUUAGGGUCAUGGCAUGCUUAUGUAUUUCUGUUACCAUCUGACCAUGGUACUAUGCCAAGUUCUCUUAGGGGACCUGAAUCUUUCCAGUAGACCACAUUUGAGAGAGUAUGAGUCAACUGGGCAUAGUUCCCAACAACCCAAAAUACAUACGUACUUCACUGAAGCAGAUCUCAUGAUUCCAUUGACUUCAUUUCUAAAAUUGGACUUUGAGCAGCCAAUUUCUAAGGAUUAAAAAGAAACUUUAAUGCAUUGUAGACCUCUGUACACAGAAAAAUCUUUGUAACUUUUGGGCUUAAUUUUCAUUCUUAAAAAAUCUGGUAACUUUUUCAAAUGCAACCACUGUCAGUUUGCUGUGAGGCUAGGCAAACAACACAAGGUAUAGAAUUUCCCAUCACCACCACCCUGACCCCGCGAGAAGAUUGCCUUUUAAUUAGAGACUUGUAGAACUAGUGCCUUUUAAGUUCUACACUCAUCUUUUCCAAAGACUAUUAGUAAACUUGCCAUGUAAUUUGACAUGGCAGUUCCUUGCUCAGCUACUCUAAAUAAAGUUGGAAAUUAGGUGGUCUCUUAGUUUGGGUAAAGUCAGUACUAUUGCCAGUAAUAUACAUGGUAAUUGAAAGCCCUUAAAGUGGUUCAGAUUAUUUGCCAAAUAUUAGACUCUAUAAAAAUUUCUGAGGUUUUUUUUCUUUUACCUUUGAGUGUACAUGUGAUUGCUAUAAUGUAAAUACCAGUCCCUUAAAGACUGUUUCUAUAAGCAGAAUGAUGCAGCACAAAGUGGAAAGGUUUUCCUCUUAUUCCAGCAGUAUUCUUGCCUUCAAAGAGUAGUCCAUCUUGCCUUGAUUUUUAAGGUUGUUUUCUUGGAUGGAAAGCUUAACUGGAUAGUAAUUUCCAUAUGUUCUUUAUAACCACUCUGUAUAUUAUAAGCAAAGUUUUUUCAUAUUGUAUCUUUUUCUGUUGAGCACUUUAUGCAUUUUAGUCUAUUGCAUUUGAGAAUGUAGUUUAGAAAUUCACUGUUUAAAGCCAUGUGAAAACUGAUAGAGGAUAAUGAAAAUGAGUGUACAUUAUUUUGAAUUUAACUUAACUGUUUUGUGGUGGGUGUGAACAAAACAUUAGAAAUAUAUUAUCUUUUUGUGAUAAUACUCUCUGACCUCACUUAAAGUGAUCUGCCAUGAGGUAUCCAUGAUCAAGUUUAUGUUUAUUCUAAUACCUAAGGAAUUCAGCCAACUUUGUUUCUAUCAUCAGAUAAUCUCAGAAAAUAGUGUGUUUUAUCUAUAUUACUGCCUCUUUUCAAUAUUUAAGAGAAUAAUUGUCUUCUGGUUUCUACUGAGCCUAGUAAUAAUCACUAAAGACCUAAAAAAGGAAUUCCUUCUGUUAAGAGUAUUUGGAUAGCCCAUUCACGAUAAUGGUGGUGUGAAAAUCAAUCAUCCCAGCUUUUCUGACAUAUCUAAAUUUUGAAUAAUUAAUUUCCACUUCCAAAAAAUUCAAAUGUUUUCUCAAAGCAGUCACUACUUAUUUGCAUUAUUCCUGCAUAUUCAGUGAAUGUGAGGUCAUAUUUGGUAUUGUAUUAGAAGUAGUGUUGGUCACUGGUCUUGCCUCUUUGAACAUUAUUUUUAUUUGUAAAAUGAGGGAGUUGGUUUGUUAUGAUGGGAAAUGAGUCAGUUUUCAGGGUCCUGAGAAAAUUGCUUCAUUCAUGGCUGUGUUUGAGAUAACUAAAGUAAAUUUUUUUUCAGGUAUUUGGUGUCAUGUUUUGGAGUUAAUAUUUAGUGCUUAUAUAAUUUUAAGUUAUUACAUAAUUUUUAUUGGUAUAUAUUUGAUAGGUACUAGGUAUUGGAUUCUCACCAAACCAGUAGAAUGGUAUUCUCUCUUAAUAUGUGAUUGCCUGUAAUGGCCAGGUAGAUAUACCUUAAAGUAAUAUGAAAGGUUUUAUAUGUAUAUUAAAAUGUUUGUACUUUUAAAUCUGUAAAGGUUAUCUGGAAUUUUUACUGUGUUAACUUCAGAAUUAUAUGGGCAUUAUGACUUUUUCAUUGUACAAAAAAUUAUUCAUAAAUGUUAGAAUACAGAUGUUCCUUGACUUACAAUAGGGUUAUGUUCCAGUAGACCCAUUGUAAAUUGAAAAUACCGUAAGUUGAAAAUACAUUUAAUACGCCUAACCUACUGAACAUCCCAGCUUAGCCUAGCCUAUCUUAAAUGUGUUCUGAACACUUAACGUUGGCCUUUAGCUGGGCAAAAUCAUCUAAUACAAAACCUAUUUUAUAAUGAAGUGUUUAAUAUCUCAAAUAAGAGUAUUGUACCACAUAUCGUUAUCCCAGGAUAAUAUCAGAGUACAAAAUUUGAAGUACAGUUUUUAACUGAAUGUGUAUUGCUUUUGCCCCAUUAUAAAGUUGAAAAACCAUAAGUCAAACCAUUGUUAAGUCGGACUGUUUGUGUUACAUAUAUUUGGGAUUUUUUAGUGGCCCUUUUUAAAAAGCUGUUUCUUAUUUCUGAUCAUUGUGAGUGGGGAUAGAUGUGGGAAGAACCAUGUCUCUACUAAAAAUACAAAAAAUAGCCAGGCUUGUUGGCACACACCUAUAGUCCCAGCUACUCGGGAGACCGAGGCAGGAGAAUCACUUGAACCGGGAGGCAGAGGGCAGAUCAUGCCACUGUAUUCCAGCCUGGGCAACAGAGUAAGACUCUGUCUCAAAAAUGAAUGAAUGAAUGAAUGAACGAAUGAAUGUACUAUGAGCUGAUACUGGGAUUUCAGGUACCGCAGUUUGUGCUGAAUGAUAUGUUUGGGGUAAAUCAGUUUUUUUCUUAUAGAAUUUCGGCGUUUUUGCUGCAACUGCCACUAAUUUUGCAUUUAAAAGAACAAAAGAGGAAUGUAUUUUUCAAAGGAGUGAAUGAGGUUAAAAUCAAGAUUUUGAAUGGUAUAAAUAUGCAACUAAUUCAGUUGUAGGAUAUUAUUAAAUUUUUUAUUGCUAAAUAUGUUUCUUUCAUACGUUGCAGUGCUUACAGUUCCAACAGCUUUCCAAGAAAACAUUUCCAUAUUUGUGUUAUUUGUAAAGUAUACAUAAAUAAUGUAAAAUAAUUUGGGAUUAUUUCAACUUUACAUUGUAUGUCUGAAUUUCAUCGAUGUUGUACCUGGCUCAGUCAAUAGUUGUCACAGGUAUUAAGCCAUUUUGGAAUUUGCCACUUUUUUCUGGGUAACCUGUUUUAGUUUAGUUUACAGCAUUUAGAAACAGAAGGUAACUUUAUAGAAGUAACACCAAUAUCCUAGUCUGCUUGCCCCGAAUAUAACUAAUAGUAUUAGGAUGUAAGCAAUAUUAAGAUGGUUUUUAUUAUUUUUUAUACACUGUGUGCUUUUACUUUUUAUUUAAACUACAGCAAAAAACUGAUUUUUUAACUAAAAUUGAAUGGCGUUUAUCUUAAUGACCAGUUAUUGACCAAAGUGUACUCAGAAGAUGUUAUUAUGUCCCAAUCUAAGGAAUCCUUUAAUUUGGGGAUUAAUUUUACUUACACAUGCCAUUUCAGUUUCAGUUGCCUCAUUCUAUUACAUCAUUCUUGUCAAGUCUAAGCUUUAUCAUGUCUGAAUUCUUUUAACACUGAAUCUGUGAUGUAAAAAUGUAUGAUGUGCCAUAAAUUUUAUUCAUAAUAAACUAAGUUAUAGCCUAUUGUAAUCUGUAAAACAUUUCUUGUAAAUUACCUAAUUUAUUUUUUCAUUUAUGUACAGUAUCUUAUGUAAAUUUGAAAAAUGUUUGCCAUGGCGCAUUCUGUAAACAUUCCCGUAUUCUUUUCCUUAAUGCUUAUUUGCAUGAAGGUAACUUGGGUUUUGCUUGUUUGUAUUGGAUAACCAUUAAGCCAACUUCAGUUUCUCUGCCUUUUUUUCUGUAGUUUAACCAUUUCUAAUUUUGUUCAUAUUCUAAAUAGAUGUUAGAAUCAUACUUUUUAUUUUCUACUUUCUAAAUAAAUUAUCUAAGUUGUUUACUA
rnacentral:lncRNA from 1 species